rnacentral:rRNA from 1 species
GACGAACCGUGCGACCGUUAUUCGGAAUCACUGGGCUUAAAGCGCGUGUAGGCGGGCCGGCACGUCGGCCGCUGAAAGCCCCCGGCUCAACCGGGGAAGCGGCGCCGAUACGACCGGCCUGGAGGGGGGUAGGGGGAGCCGGAACUCACGGUGGAGCGGUGAAAUGCGUUGAGAUCGUGAGGAACGCCCGUGGCGAAAGCGGGCUCCUGGGCCCCGCCUGACGCUGAGACGCGAAAGCCAGGGGAGCGAACGGG